rnacentral:rRNA from 1 species
UACGUAGGGGGCAAGCGUUGUCCGGAAUUAUUGGGCGUAGAGCGCGCGCAGGCGGCGAUGUAAGUCUUCAGUUUAAGCCCGGGGCUCAACCCCGGCUCGCUGGGGAAACUGCAUGGCUGGAGUGCAGGAGAGGAAAGUGGAAUUCCACGUGUAGCGGUGAAAUGCGUAGAGAUGUGGAGGAACACCAGUGGCGAAGGCGACUUUCUGGCCUGUAACUGACGCUGAGGCGCGAAAGCGUGGGGAGCAAACAGG